AGUAGUUUGAUCAGUGGCUCGAGGACGAACGCUGGCGGCGUGCCUAACACAUGCAAGUCGAGCGGGGACAUUUAGCGGAACGGAAGUUUUCGGAUGGAAGGGAAGAUGAAUGUUCUAGCGGCGGACGGGUGAGUAACGCGUGAGCAACCUGUCCUUCACGAGGGGGAUAACACAGCGAAAGUUGUACUAAUACCGCAUGAGACCACGGCGGGACAUCCCGCAGGGGUCAAAGGAGCAAUCCGGUGAAGGGUGGGCUCGCGUCCGAUUAGAUAGUUGGUGAGGUAACGGCCCACCAAGUCGACGAUCGGUAGCCGACCUGAGAGGGUGAUCGGCCACAUUGGGACUGAGACACGGCCCAAACUCC
rnacentral:rRNA from 1 species